GAAAGCCCUUCUGGGUCGGCGUCUGGCACUCGCCUUCUCACGCCGACUGCAACAUGAUCAAGACAGUAAUUGUGCUGGUUUGCGCUGCCCUUCUUUUGGCAUUUGCGGGAGCCAAUCCUGACCCCGAACCUGGUUUUGGUGGACAUGGAUUCGGACACGGUGGGUUCGGCCAUGGAGGCUUCGGACACGGCGGAUUCGGAGGCUUCGGACGUGGCGGAUUCGGAGGAUUCGGACACGGCGGAUAUGGUCGCUGAAGCAGUGCCUUAACUAUGAGCAUGGAGUUUGGAAGAUGAGAAGGAAUAAAGAUGCAACAAAACCACAUUCUAUUCCUUCGAAGUUGGAAAAUGUUUACGUGAUAAAAAAGCUUUUCCAUGCAAAUUCAUGAGAUCUUGUAGUUAUCUUUCCGUUAAUGUUAUCCAUAUACUGUGCACCGGUCUCUGGAACAAAUAUUGAAAAUCAAGGUAAUGCGAAAAUAAAUAAAAACACAUAACCACCUA
rnacentral:lncRNA from 1 species